rnacentral:rRNA from 1 species
CAUGCAGUCGGACGGUAGCACAGAGAGCUUGCUCUCGGGUGACGAGUGGCGGACGGGUGAGUAAUGUCUGGGGAUCUGCCCGAUAGAGGGGGAUACCACUGGAAACGGUGGCUAAUACCGCAUAACGUCGCAAGACCAAAGAGGGGGACCUUCGGGCCUCUCACUAUCGGAUGAACCCAGAUGGGAUUAGCUAGUAGGCGGGGUAAUGGCCCACCUAGGCGACGAUCCCUAGCUGGUCUGAGAGGAUGACCAGCCACACUGGAACUGAGACACGGUCCAGACUCCUACGGGAGGCAGCAGUGGGGAAUAUUGCACAAUGGGCGCAAGCCUGAUGCAGCCAUGCCGCGUGUAUGAAGAAAGCCUUCGGGUUGUAAAGUACUUU